rnacentral:rRNA from 1 species
UGGGGAAUAUUGCACAAUGGACGAAAGUCUGAUGCAGCAACGCCGCGUGGAGGAUGACACAUUUCGGUGCGUAAACUCCUUUUAUAUGAGAAGAUAAUGACGGUAUCAUAUGAAUAAGCACCGGCUAACUCCGUGCCAGCAGCCGCGGUAAUACGGGGGGUGCAAGCGUUACUCGGAAUCACUGGGCGUAAAGAGCAUGUAGGCGGAUUGAUAAGUUUGAAGUGAAAUCCUAUAGCUUAACUAUAGAACUGCUUUGAAAACUGUUAAUCUAGAAUGUGGGAGAGGUAGAUGGAAUUUCUGGUGUAGGGGUAAAAUCCGUAGAGAUCAGAAGGAAUACCGAUUGCGAAGGCGAUCUACUGGAACACUAUUGACGCUGAGAUGCGAAAGCGUGGGGAGCAAACG